GAUGAACGCUAGCGGCAGGCUUAAUACAUGCAAGUCGUGGGGCAGCAUGAGUAGCAAUACUUGAUGGCGACCGGCAAACGGGUGAGGAACACGUACACAACCCUCCUUCAAGCGGGGAAUAGCCCAGAGAAAUUUGGAUUAAUACCCCAUAAUAUAUUUGAUAAAGGCAUCUUAUUAAAUAUUAAAGCUUCGGCACUUGAUGAUGGGUGUGCGGCUGAUUAGAUAGUUGGCGGGGUAACGGCCCACCAAGUCUACGAUCAGUAGCUGAUGUGAGAGCAUGAUCAGCCACACGGGCACUGAGACACGGGCCCGAUCCUACGGGAGGCAGCAGUAAGGAAUAUUGGACAAU
rnacentral:rRNA from 1 species